rnacentral:rRNA from 1 species
AGAGUUUGAUCAUGGCUCAGGACGAACGCUGGCGGCACGCUUAACACAUGCAAGUCGAACGAGAGAAGAGGAGCUUGCUUUUCUGAUCUAGUGGCGGACGGGUGAGUAACACGUGAGCAAUCUGCCUUUCAGAGGGGGAUACCGAUUGGAAACGAUCGUUAAUACCGCAUAACAUAAUUGAACCGCAUGAUUUGAUUAUCAAAGAUUUAUCGCUGAAAGAUGAGCUCGCGUCUGAUUAGCUAGUUGGUAAGGUAACGGCUUACCAAGGCGACGAUCAGUAGCCGGACUGAGAGGUUGAUCGGCCACACUGGGACUGAGACACGGCCCAGACUCCUACGGGAGGCAGCAGUGGGGAAUAUUGCACAAUGGAGGAAACUCUGAUGCAGCGAUGCCGCGUGAGGGAAGAAGGUUUUAGGAUUGUAAACCUCUGUCUUCAGGGACGAAAAAAGACGGUACCUGAGGAGGAAGCUCCGGCUAACUACGUGCCAGCAGCCGCGGUAAUACGUAGGGAGCGAGCGUUGUCCGGAAUUACUGGGUGUAAAGGGAGCGUAGGCGGGAUCGCAAGUCAGAUGUGAAAACUAUGGGCUUAACCCAUAAACUGCAUUUGAAACUGUGGUUCUUGAGUGAAGUAGAGGUAAGCGGAAUUCCUAGUGUAGCGGUGAAAUGCGUAGAUAUUAGGAGGAACAUCAGUGGCGAAGGCGGCUUACUGGGCUUUAACUGACGCUGAGGCUCGAAAGCGUGGGGAGCAAACAGGAUUAGAUACCCUGGUAGUCCACGCCGUAAACGAUGAUUACUAGGUGUGGGGGGACUGACCCCUUCCGUGCCGCAGCAAACGCAAUAAGUAAUCCACCUGGGGAGUACGACCGCAAGGUUGAAACUCAAAGGAAUUGACGGGGGCCCGCACAAGCAGUGGAGUAUGUGGAUUAAUUCGAAGCAACGCGAAGAACCUUACCAGGUCUUGACAUCGUAUGCAUAGCUCAGAGAUGAGUGAAAUCUCUUCGGAGACAUAUAGACAGGUGGUGCAUGGUUGUCGUCAGCUCGUGUCGUGAGAUGUUGGGUUAAGUCCCGCAACGAGCGCAACCCUUACUGUUAGUUGCUACGCAAGAGCACUCUAGCAGGACUGCCGUUGACAAAACGGAGGAGGGUGGGGAUGACGUCAAAUCAUCAUGCCCCUUAUGACCUGGGCCUCACACGUACUACAAUGGCUGUCAACAGAGGGAAGCAAAGCCGCGAGGUGGAGCGAACCCCUAAAAGCAGUCUUAGUUCGGAUUGUAGGCUGCAACCCGCCUACAUGAAGUCGGAAUUGCUAGUAAUCGCAGAUCAGCAUGCUGCGGUGAAUACGUUCCCGGGCCUUGUACACACCGCCCGUCACGCCAUGGGAGUCGGUAACACCCGAAGCCUGUAGUCUAACCGCAAGGAGGACGCAGUCGAAGGUGGGAUUGAUGACUGGGGUGAAGUCGUAACAAGGUA